rnacentral:rRNA from 1 species
GAUGAACGCUAGCGACAGGCUUAACACAUGCAAGUCGAGGGGCAGCAUAAAAGUAGCAAUACUUUGGUGGCGACCGGCGCACGGGUGAGUAACGCGUAUGCAACCUACCUAUCAGAGGGGAAUAACCCGGCGAAAGUCGGACUAAUACCGCAUAAAACAGGGGCACCGCAUGGUGAUAUUUGUUAAAGAAAUUCGCUGAUAGAUGGGCAUGCGUUCCAUUAGGUAGUUGGUGAGGUAACGGCUCACCAAGCCGACGAUGGAUAGGGGAACUGAGAGGUUGGUCCCCCACACUGGUACUGAGACACGGACCAGACUCCUACGGGAGGCAGCAGUGAGGAAUAUUGGUCAAUGGGCGAGAGCCUGAACCAGCCAAGUCGCGUGAAGGAAGAAGGAUCUAUGGUUCGUAAACUUCUUUUGCAGGGGAAUAAAGUGCGGGACGUGUCCUGUUUUGUAUGUACCCUGAGAAUAAGGAUCGGCUAACUCCGUGCCAGCAGCCGCGGU